CGGGCCGCGUCAACCGGGCGUGGCGGUAAGGCGAACGAAGGGAUUUUCCCGGUUUCUUCCUUCGGCCAACGAAACGGCAGACGAGCGCCUGUCCCGCCCGGCC
rnacentral:sRNA from 1 species